rnacentral:rRNA from 1 species
UGGCGGCGUGCUUAACACAUGCAAGUCUUCCCGCGAAAGCGGGAGCAAUCCUGCGAGUAGAGUGGCGAACGGGUGAGUAAUGUGUGAGUAAUUUGCCUUCCAGAGGGGGAUAACCUGGCGAAAGCCGGGCUAAGACCGCGUAACAUUACGUUGUUUACGGACGAUGUAAUCAAAACAUGGGGAAUCGUAAGAUCCUAUGGCUGGGAGAUGAGCUCACAUCCUAUCACGCUUGUUGGUGGGGUAACGGCCUACCAAGGCGACGACGGGUAGCCGGCCUGAGAGGGUGUCCGGCCACACUGGAACUGAGACACGGUCCAGACUCCUACGGGAGGCAGCAGUGGGGAAUUUUUCGCAAUGGGCGCAAGCCUGACGAAGCAACGCCGCGUGGAGGAUGAAGGCCCUCGCGGUCGUAAACUCCUGUCUAGCGGGACGAAUGUCUUCACAGUGAAUAAUUGUGGAGAGUGACUGUACCGCUGGAGGAAGCCCCGGCCAACUCCGUGCCAGCAGCCGCGGUAAUACGGAGGGAGCAAGCGUUACUCGGAAUUACUGGGCGUAAAGGGCGCGUAGGCGAUUCGAUAAGUUUUGUGUGAAAGCCCCAAGCUUAACUUGGGAAGUGCACGAGAUACUGUUGAAUUUGAGUUCCGGAGAGGAAGAUGGAAUUCCCGGUGUAGCGGUGAAAUGCGUAGAUAUCGAGAGGAAUACCAGUGGCGAAGGCGAUCUUCUGGACGGAUACUGACGCUGAGGCGCGAAAGCUAGGGGAGCAAACGGGAUUAGAUACCCCGGUAGUCCUAGCCGUAAACGAUGUACACUUGGUGUGAGCCNGGUUUUCGGUUUGUGCCGAA